rnacentral:rRNA from 1 species
UACGUAGGGUGCGAGCGUUGUCCGGAAUUAUUGGGCGUAAAGAGCUCGUAGGCGGUCUGUCGCGUCGGUCGUGAAAACUUGGGGCUUAACCCUGAGCUUGCGGUCGAUACGGGCAUGACUGGAGUUCGGUAGGGGAGACUGGAAUUCCUGGUGUAGCGGUGAAAUGCGCAGAUAUCAGGAGGAACACCGGUGGCGAAGGCGGGUCUCUGGGCCGAUACUGACGCUGAGGAGCGAAAAGCGUGGGGAGCGAACAGG